ACGGAAGGCAGCAGCUAAGAAUAUUCCGCAAUGGACGAAAGUCUGACGGAGCGACGCCGCGUGGAUGAUGAAGGUCGAAAGAUUGUAAAAUCCUUUUAGGAGUGAAGAAUAAGCGGUGCAGGGAAUGGCAUCACGGUGACGGUAGCUCCUGAAUAAGCAACGGCUAAUUACGUGCCAGCAGCCGCGGUAACACGUAAGUUGCGAGCGUUGUUCGGAAUUAUUGGGCGUAAAGGGCAUGUAGGCGGUUUUGCAAGCUUGGUGUGAAAUCUCGGAGCUCAACUCCGAAAUUGCGUUGAGAACUGCAUAACUAGAGUCACUGAGGGGCAAUCAGAAUUCCAGGUGUAGGGGUGAAAUCUGUAGAUAUCUGGAAGAAUACCAAUGGCGAAGGCAGGUUACCAGCAGAUGACUGACGCUGAGGUGCGAAGGUGCGGGGAGCAAACAGGAUUAGAUACCCUGGUA
rnacentral:rRNA from 1 species